ACCGGAAGUAAGGUGAGCAUUUGGUCUGAUUCACUUUCUGGAAACUCACCACGAACAAUAAAGAUUGAGUAACCUAUAGAGAAGGGUUAUGUCUGGCAUUUUCAACUUCUGGAUUUGAGUAAGGUAUGGCAGUCAAAUUCCACACAGACAAUGCUCGACAAAUAACCUUAAGCAGUUUGAUCAAUUUUAUGCAAGUUAUGAUGAUGAUUCAUCAAUGUUUACGCAAAGACAUGAAAUAUACCUGAAUGGAAAAGAAACCACUAUCAUCCAGGUUUGAUGAUGGUUGCUACAAAAAUUAAUGGUAAAAAUACAUGGAUUGUUUUAUAGAGAGAUGGAAUUAUACAUGUUUAAUAGAAAGUACAUUCAUAAACUUGGCAUAUUCCUCAGAGUUAAUAUCACCCUCUGCCAUUGUGCAUCUUUCUGCUUCAUCUAGUUCAUACGCAAGCUGGGCUAAAUCAACAGCAGUAAAAUAUGGUCCUAUGAUAAAAACAUAUAUUUUCAUUAAUAAGUUUGAAAAUUGGUAAUCCAGGCAUUUAAUACAUAAAAGAUAAAAACAGGAGAAACUUUUAUCGUUUAUGUAUUUUCAUUAAUAUAACCUUAAUUUGUUUAACUCUAAAUGAAAGUAAAGUUCAAACCUUGAAGAAGAGAGUUUAAGCAAUGUUGCGCACAUAAUGAACCUUCUUGCUAGAGCAAUGAUGAACGUAUAUAUAACAUAAAUAUGUAGAUACAGCAUCAUUUUUUUCAAUUUUAGUCUACCUUUUCAAAGUGUAUAUACUCCAUUUAAAUAAUGUAAAAAUGUGAAUAUUGUCAAAACGAUUGCUCAAUCGUUGAAACGUCGUUAUGGCGCAUUUUGCAACGAAA